UACAGAGGGGGCAAGCGUUGUUCGGAAUUACUGGGCGUAAAGGGCGCGUAGGCGGCCUGUUAAGUCGAACGUGAAAUCCCCGGGCUCAACCCGGGAACUGCGUCCGAUACUGGCAGGCUUGAAUUCGGGAGAGGGAUGUGGAAUUCCAGGUGUAGCGGUGAAAUGCGUAGAUAUCUGGAGGAACACCGGUGGCGAAGGCGGCAUCCUGGACCGAUACUGACGCUGAGGCGCGAAAGCGUGGGGAGCAAACAGG
rnacentral:rRNA from 1 species